AUUGAACGCUGGCGGAAUGCUUUACACAUGCAAGUCGAACGGCAGCACGGGAGCUUGCUCCUGGUGGCGAGUGGCGAACGGGUGAGUAAUAUAUCGGAACGUAUCCAAUAAUGGGGGAUAACUAAUCGAAAGGUUGGCUAAUACCGCAUACGCCCUACGGGGGAAAGCAGGGGAUCUUCGGACCUUGCGUUGAUGGAGCGGCCGAUAUCGGAUUAGCUAGUUGGUGGGGUAAAGGCCUACCAAGGCGACGAUCCGUAGCUGGUCUGAGAGGACGACCAGCCACACUGGAACUGAGACACGGUCCAGACUCCUACGGGAGGCAGCAGUGGGGAAUUUUGGACAAUGGGGGCAACCCUGAUCCAGCCAUUCCGCGUGAGUGAAGAAGGCCUUCGGGUUGUAAAGCUCUUUCGCAAGGGAAGAAACGAUACUGGUGAAUAUCCAGUGUUAAUGACGGUACCUUGAUAAGAAGCACCGGCUAACUACGUGCCAGCCGCCGCAGUAA
rnacentral:rRNA from 1 species